rnacentral:rRNA from 1 species
CAAUAGCGUAUAUUAAAGUUGUUGCGGUUAAAAAGCUCGUAGUUGGAUUUCUGUCGAAAACGGCCGGUCCUCACUAUGUGAGUGUAUCUGGUUCGGUUUUGGCAUCCUCGUGGGAGACGGAGCUGCGCUUGAUUGCGUGGGCCGGAAUUCACGACUUUUACUUUGAGGAAAUUAGAGUGUUCACGGCAGGCAAGCGCCUUGAAUACAUUAGCAUGGAAUAAUAAUAUAGGACCUUGGUUCUAUUUUGUUGGUUUCUAGAACUGAGGUAAUGAUUAAUAGGGAUAAUUGGGGGCAUUUGUAUUAACGCGUCAGAGGUGGAAUUCUUGGAUUGCGUUACGACAAACUACUGCGAAAGCAUUUGCCAAGGAUGUUUUCAUUGAUCAAGAACGAAAGUAUGGGGAUCGAAGAUGAUUAGAUACCA